UACGUAGGAGACGAGCGUUGUCCGGAAUUACUGGGCGUAAAGCGCGUGUAGGCGGCUGAGCAAGUCUGCUGUGAAAGCUCCUGGCUUAACCGGGAGUGGUCGGUGGAAACUGCUCGUCUGGAGGACGGUAGAGGUAGGUAGAAUUCCCGGUGUAGUGGUGAAAUGCGUAGAGAUCGGGAGGAAUACCUGUGGCGAAGGCGGCCUACUGGGCCGGACCUGACGCUGAGACGCGAAGGCGUGGGGAGCGAACGGG
rnacentral:rRNA from 1 species